GACUUAUCCGUGCUGGUCAGUACGUGACCUGCGGAGGAUCAUUAU
rnacentral:rRNA from 1 species